rnacentral:rRNA from 1 species
AGUCGAACAGCAGCACGGACUUCGGUCUGGUGGCAGGUGGCAGACAGGUGAGUAAUGUAUCGGAACGUGCCCUAGCUAGCGGGGAUAACUACGCGAAAGCGUGGCUAAUACCACUAUGCGCCCUUCGAGAAAGCGGGGACCUUCGGGCCUCGCACUAACCAGAGCAGCCGAUAUCGGAUUGGCUAGUUGGGUGGGGAUAACGGCUCGCAAGGCGACGAUCGUAGCUGAAAGAUUUGAGAGGACGACCAACCACACAGGACUGAGACUGGCGAACUCUACGGAGGCAGCGAUUGAGAAUUUUGGACAAUGGGAAACCUGAUCAGCCAUCCCGCGUGUGCGAUGAAGGCCUUCCAGGUUGUAAAGCACUUUUGGCAGGAAAAAGAAACGGCGCGGGAUAAUGCCCCGUGCAACUGACGGUUGCCUGCAGAAUAAACACCGGCUAACUACGUGCCAGCAGCCCGCGGUAAUACAGCAGAAGGGUGCGAAAGCGUUGAUCAGAUUCUGUAGGCGUAAAGCGUGCGCGAACGGUUCGGAAAGAAAGAUGUGAAAUCCCAGGCAUAGCUUUGGAACUGUAUUCCCAACUACGAGCUAAGUAUGUCAGGAGGUGGGAUUUUGAUGUAGCAGUGAAAUGCGUAGAUAUGCGGAGGGGGAACGCCGAUGGCAGGAGGCAGCCUCCUGGAUAGCUGCUGGCGCUCGUAAAGCAGUGGGGAGCAAAACGGGAUUAGAUACCCGCGGUGGUCCACGCCCUAAACGCGAUGUCAACCUAACGUUGGGGCCUUCGGGCCUUGGUAGCGCAAUAACGCGUGAAGUUGACCUGUAGGAAAUACAAUCCACAAAUGUAAAAACUCAAAGGGAAUUGACGAGGACCCGCACAAGCAGUAGAUGAUGUGUAAAUUAAUUCGAUGCAACACUGAAAAACCCCACCACCCUUGACAUGUCUGGAAUCGAAGAUUUGGGAGGUGCUCGCAAAGAGAACAGGUUUCACAGGUGCACUGCAUGGCUAUUCGUCAGCUCAUUGAUAAGUGAGAUGUUGGAGUUAAAGAUCCCGCAACCCAGGCGCAACCCUUGUCAUUGGAUUGCUACUGAAAAAGGCCACUCUGUGCAGGACGCCGGUGAUAGACCGGAGGAAGGUGGGGACAACGUCAAGUCCUCGUAGGCCUUAUGGGUAGGGCUUCACAUCAUACAAUGGUCAGGACAGAGGGUCGCCAACCCGCGAGGGCCAAUCCCAGAAACCCGAUCGUAGUCGGAUCGCAGUCUACAGCUCGACUUCGUGAAGUCAAAUCCGCGCUGGUGUCCACCGGAUCGGCAAUAUCACGCCGGUGAACCGUUCCCGGGUCUUGUACACACCGCCCGUCACACCAUCAGGAUCGGGUUUGCUGCCAGAAGUGGUAGCCUAACCGUAAGGGCGGUCACCACGGCCAAGUUCAUGACUGAGGGGUGAGGAUAGGUAACAAGGCCAG